rnacentral:rRNA from 1 species
AUGAACCAUUUGACAUACUCUAUUGAGGAUCUGCUCGGUGGUUCACAUGUGGCUUGGCACUUGAGUUUUGUUCUGUUUGACAUGGUGAAGAUCUGGAAAGUUCUGCCAUCUCUGCAGCCAAAGGUGACAUGGUUCUUAUCUUCUCAAGUAAUUUUACUGGAAGUGGUCGUUGUAAUUUCUCCUGUAAGAAAAUUGGGCUCCUCCUACGAGAAAGCAGUGUUACUUUUUGUUCAUCAUGUAUUGAAGAAAAUUGAGUUAUGGCAAUGGAGAGCUAGUCCUGGACAAUGGGAACUGCACAUGUGUGACAGGUUGCAUACAAUUGUUGUUGUUGAAGGCAUUACAAGCAGCAUGUUUAUUGCAAGCCUACUAGAGCAUUUGUCCAGUUAUGAGGAGCUAGGAUAUACCUCUGAUGGCCAGUUGUCGAAUGUUCCCUAUGACCUGGUGCAGAUUGGCUUGCUUGCUAGGUUUACUACUCCUACAGUAUUCCUGGGAGAUACUUUGCUGAAUUUCUAUGGGUGUUGUUCGUCAGCAUUGGUAGCUACGACCUAUUGUUUACUUUACAAUAAGAGGUCCUCAUUUUUAGGAGCUGAAUUGAUUGCCCACUCACGCAUUUUAGAGUUCAAUCAAGCACAUUUCUUUGUGAGACCAUGGGAUCCUGGCAUUUUACAUUUUCUCUCUCGAACUGAGGUCAUAAUUAUCAGGAAAAGAAAUGGGUGUUAUUCUGGUGGACUAGCACAUAGUCAGAAGUCUGGUAUUGAGCAAGAUUGCAAUUUGUUCCAUCAGAUGCUGGUUAACGUGAGGCCCACAACAUGUCCGAGUCUAAGAAGUUUCCAUUGCCAACAGUCAGCAAUUCUUUUCGAUGGUCAUGCUAUUCUGGUGACUUCAUGGUUUGUAGUUGCCGAAGCCAGCUUCAGUAGAGUAUUGCACUUGAGACAAGCACAAUUUCGACGGCGGGGAAGUGUCAUGCCCGGGGUACAUGACCCGUCAGUCUGUAGACUUGGUGUAUAA